rnacentral:rRNA from 1 species
GACGAACGCUGGCGGCGUGCCUAAUACAUGCAAGUAGAACGCUGAAGGAGGAGCAUGCUUCUCCGGAUGAGUUGCGAACGGGUGAGUAACGCGUAGGUAACCUGCCUGGUAGCGGGGGAUAACUAUUGGAAACGAUAGCUAAUACCGCAUAACAGUAGAUGUUGCAUGACAUUUGCUUAAAAGGUGCAAUUGCAUCACUACCAGAUGGACCUGCGUUGUAUUAGCUAGUUGGUGAGGUAACGGCUCACCAAGGCGACGAUACAUAGCCGACCUGAGAGGGUGAUCGGCCACACUGGGACUGAGACACGGCCCAGACUCCUACGGGAGGCAGCAGUAGGGAAUCUUCGGCAAUGGACGGAAGUCUGACCGAGCAACGCCGCGUGAGUGAAGAAGGUUUUCGGAUCGUAAAGCUCUGUUGUAAGAGAAGAACGAGUGUGAGAGUGGAAAGUUCACACUGUGACGGUAUCUUACCAGAAAGGGACGGCUAACUACGUG